AAGCUACUCCCUCCGUUCGGAAUUACUUGUCUCGAAAAUAGAUGUAUCUAGAACUAAAAUACAUCUAGAUACAUCCAUUUUCGCGACAAGUAAUUCCGAACGGAGGGAGUAGAAA
rnacentral:pre_miRNA from 1 species